CAAAAGCGUAUAUUAAAGUUGUUGCAGUUAAAAAGCUCGUAGUUGAACCUUGGGCUUGGCUGGCCGGUCCAUCUUUUUUGAUGCGUACUGGACCCAGCCGAGCCUUUCCUUCUGGCUAGCCUUUUGGCGAACCAGGACUUUUACUUUGAAAAAAUUAGAGUGUUCAAAGAAGGCCUUUGCUCGAAUAUAUUAGCAUGGAAUAAUAGAAUAGGACGUUAUGGUUCUAUUUUGUUGGUUUCUAGGACCAUCGUAAUGAUUAAUAGGGACGGUCGGGGGUAUCAGUAUUCAGUUGUCAGAGGUGAAAUUCUUGGAUUUACUGAAGACUAACUACUGCGAAAGCAUUUACCAAGGACGUUUUCAUUAA
rnacentral:rRNA from 1 species